rnacentral:rRNA from 1 species
UACAGAGGUCUCAAGCGUUGUUCGGAUUCAUUGGGCGUAAAGGGUGCGUAGGCGGCGCGGUAAGUCGGGUGUGAAAUCUCGGAGCUUAACUCCGAAACUGCAUUCGAUACUGCCGUGCUUGAGGACUGGAGAGGAGACUGGAAUUUACGGUGUAGCGGUGAAAUGCGUAGAUAUCGUAAGGAAGACCAGUGGCGAAGGCGGCCCACUGGAUCGGUACUGACGCUGAGGUGCGAAAGCGUGGGGAGCAAACAGG